rnacentral:rRNA from 1 species
GAGUACGGUCGCAAGAUUAAAACUCAAAUGAAUUGACGGGGGCCCGCACAAGCGGUGGAGCAUGUGGUUUAAUUCGACGCAACGCGAAGAACCUUACCUACUCUUGACAUCUAGCGAAGACUGCAGAGAUGCGGUUGUGCCUUCGGGAACGCUAAGACAGGUGCUGCAUGGCUGUCGUCAGCUCGUGUUGUGAAAUGUUGGGUUAAGUCCCGCAACGAGCGCAACCCUUAUCCUUAGUUGCCAGCACGUAAUGGUGGGAACUCUAGGGAGACUGCCGGUGAUAAACCGGAGGAAGGUGGGGACGACGUCAAGUCAUCAUGGCCCUUACGAGUAGGGCUACACACGUGCUACAAUGGUAUGUACAGAGGGAGGCAAGCUGGCGACAGUGAGCGGAUCUCUUAAAGCAUAUCGUAGUCCGGAUCGCAGUCUGCAACUCGACUGCGUGAAGUCGGAAUCGCUAGUAAUCGCAAAUCAGAAUGUUGCGGUGAAUACGUUCCCGGG